rnacentral:rRNA from 1 species
UACAGGGGGGGCAAGCGUUGUUCGGAAUUACUGGGCGUAAAGGGUCUGUAGGUGGCCCGCUAAGUCACACGUGAAAUCCCUCAGCUUAACUGGGGAACUGCGGUCGAUACGGGCAGGCUCGAGUUCGGUAGGGGAGACUGGAAUUCCUGGUGUAGCGGUGAAAUGCGCAGAUAUCAGGAGGAACACCCGUGGCGAAGGCGGCAUCCUGGACCGGUAUUGACGCUGAGGCGCGAAAGCUAGGGGAGCAAACGGG